CAGCAGCCGCGGGAAUACGAAGGGUGCAAGCGUUAAUCGGAAUUGCUGGGCGUAAAGCGCGCGUAGGUGGUUCAUUAAGUUGGAUGUGAAAGCCCUGGGCUCAACCUGGGAACUGCAUCCAAAACUGGUGAGCUAGAGUACGGUAGAGGGUAGUGGAAUUUCCUGUGUAGCGGUGAAAUGCGUAGAUAUAGGAAGGAACACCAGUGGCGAAGGCGACUACCUGGACUGAUACUGACACUGAGGUACGAAAGCAUGGGGAGCAAACAGGAUUAGAUACCCCCGUAGUCCCUGUCUCUUAUAC
rnacentral:rRNA from 1 species